AUUUGCAGGGCGUUAAAAUGACAAUGAUCAAAAUCGUGGGGAGGUUCUUGUAAUUAAUCCUUUCGCUGUUGAUGCUAUGAAAGCGCUGGCACUGGGGAGUGGCAGCUCUGUUGACGUUUCCAGAUGAACAAAACGAAAUGUUUCCUCAACCGAUUGUUUUCUGGACGCUCUGAUUCCAUAUGAACGUAAGGGAACAUUUUGGUCAAAGCAAUUGCUGCGUUUCAUUUCCAAAAAACUGGAAGCUUUUUAUCAAAUGGUUCUGUUUCUGGGUACAACUUGCCUCCCUUCUCUUAUAUCCUGAGCUCAUUACAUACGCCAAACCUUACUAAAAAGCUCUGCGCUUUUAGUUCCCAGAAAUGGGCUUUCUCCCUUCGGACGAUUUUUUCAGGCAUACCAAGUGUCUGUCAAAAGCAGUAACUUAUAUAUACAAUCAAAGGGGUAUUAUAUUUACUGCCUUGCUUUAUGCAUUGAAUUGAGUCUAACUUAAUAAUAUUCAAUGCGCACUUUGGAAUUUUAAGCAGUAUUGCUCUGUGUUUGAAUGGAACUUUUUGGAUUGCAUGGGUACCAAUCUCAACUCUUUCGCGCAGCCUCUUGGGAACUAGAAUUGUAAGUGUAUUUGAAGUGAUUUUCUAUGCAUCUGCCAUGGCGUGAUUAUGGGAAUUCAGAGUUGAAUUGCAGUAUGGAUUUUGUGGGGACGGAACUAGUGAAGGGAUUCAACUUGUUAGCUACCUGACAAAUCCUUUAAAGUUAUGUGCGGUUUGCUCAAAAGCUGUGGAACCAGGUAAUAAAAAUAGAAGACUCAACACAAGCUGCAUCCUUAUUCGUUCUGGAUGGUGUGACAUUCUCAUAAAUGCUGGAAAGUUUUUCUAUCACAGUACUCUUCAAUGGUUUCCUGCCUUCGGGACAAUCGGAACCUGGGAAUAUUCAAGGCCCUGUUACCGGGUAGGGUAAAACCAACAGCACAGAGGCUCUGCAGAACAGGAGCCACAAAGAUGAUUGUAGAGAUCAGAUGCCAGGAUUGCACUCAAACAAUAGUAGCGGUACUCUCCCAAGUAAGCCCUGAAAAUAAAGGUGCUACACCAUAGUAACCAGAACUGGGCUGCUUAUCCUCCCUGCUCAAAUUCCUUGAGCUAUACUUUAUUUAUUCUUUAAAGGCUUCAAAAUCUUCUAUUCAUGCUUGACCACUUGAGGUAGAUGACUUUAGCUAGGAGAAGAUCCAGAUACUGUGUUCAUUUUAGGAAAUUCAACAUAAGAAAAGGAAGAAGCCCUUAACCAAUAUGCAGAUUAUUAUCUAUCACGUGUUGGCCAGAAUAUGAUUUGAGUAGAACCAUCUUCUUUUUCAUACAUAAGAGAUACAGAAGCGUUAUAAGUUGGUUUCAUGGGGUUAAGGGAGUGACAUCAUAAAAAAUGCUCAAGAGACGUUAAAAGACAUUCUUUUUCAUACACAACUGUAUAUGCUAGACAUAUAUAGUGAGUGACAUCAUAAACAAUGCUCAGGAGACGUUAAAAGACAUUCUUGACAUCUGUGUUCUUAUUGUUUGAGUUCGUUAUACAGGAUUUAGUGUGCAUAUAGACGUUGGCUAAAUGAUCAUGAAACAUGGAUCAAUACAUAAAUUGACAUCAUAACGUGAAUUAAAAUAAACCAUGUUCCAGAAUACAAGAAUAAUCUGAAUUCUAUAAAUGCCUUCGCAUUUGCAAAGUACAUUUGGCACGACAGUACUUCUCCACACCAAUGGCUGGCAGAUGACGUUAGCGAGAUACCUUAAGAAACUUACCCACUUCUGAAGCACUGUGAAAUCAGGAUUCCGUUCUCUCUCUCUCUCUCUCAUAGAAAAUACAAACAAAUACGUUGUUUACUGUCAUGAACACACAUCUAUAGAAAUCCAUGAUGAAAAUCUUCGUCUGGUUUAUAUGUUAAAUGACUUCUUCAGGAUGCUUUAACGCCAGAUCGGUGUUCUUCAACACACUUCAGACUUCCAAAGGUAAACUUCUGUGACCUCUUUCCAUACAGACCCGCAUUAGCAAAUCUUAAGCUUUUAUUUAACCCUAUAUCAAGCUUUGGAGAAGGUACGGAAAAUCCAACCAAAGAAAACACUUUUCACAUGUAUGAUUAGCCGGCAUAUUGCUUUCCCUUGGCAUUCCAAUUUGCUCACUAGUUUGUAGACCACUUUCACCUUGAUACAGGUAUGGGAGGGAAAUGAUGAGUUUUUAGAGAGAUUGAGAUGUAUCAUCUUAAACUACAAUAUUCAGUGUGCUCACAUCCUAGGCGCUCCCUCCACCGCGCGGCAUGCAGUGGGUGGGGACAUAGUCUCCUAUCCCACCCACCCUGUGUGGGAUGAGCGUAUCUGCCCCUUUGUAGUUCUUGCACAGUCAAUUUUAUUUUUUAUUUUUUAUGCUUCAUGAUUUGUAACAUAAUUAUGUUUUGAAUCAUAAUAAUGCGGUUUUUGUUCU